rnacentral:rRNA from 1 species
GUUAGGAAUAUUGGACAAUGGGCGAAAGCCUGAUCCAGCCAUGCCGCGUGAACGAUGAAGGCCUUCGGGUUGUAAAGUUCUUUAGUCGAUGAUUAUAAUGACUGUAGUCGGAAAAUAAGCCCCGGCUAACUUCGUGCCAGCAGCCGCGGUAAUACGAAGGGGGCGAGCGUUAUUCGGAAUCACUGGGCGUAAAGCGUGCGUAGGCGGUUUUGUAAGUUAGGAGUGAAAGCCCAGGGCUCAACCUUGGAAUUGCUCUUAAAACUGCAAGGCUCGAAUCUCGGAGAGGAUAGCGGAAUUUCCAGUGUAGCAGUGAAAUGCGUAGAUAUUGGAAGGAACACCAGUGGCGUAAGCGGCUAUCUGGACGAGUAUUGACGCUGAGGCACGAAAGCGUGGGGAUCAAACAGGAUUAGAUACCCGUGUAGUCC